ensembl:snRNA U7 U7 small nuclear RNA
CAGUGUCACAUCUGUUUUAGAAUUUGUCUAGGAGGUUUUCUGGUUUUUACUAGACUCCCCCA